UACAGGGGGGGCAAGCGUUGUUCGGAAUUACUGGGCGUAAAGGGCUCGUAGGCGGCCAACUAAGUCGGAUGUGAAAUCCCCAGGCUUAACCUGGGAACUGCAUCCGAUACUGGAUGGCUUGAAUCCGGGAGAGGGAUGCAGAAUUCCAGGUGUAGCGGUGAGAUGCGUAGAUAUCUGGAGGAAUACCGGUGGCGAAGGCGGCAUCCUGGACCGGCAUUGACGCUGAUGAGCGAAAGCUAGGGGAGCAAACGGG
rnacentral:rRNA from 1 species